AAUGUUACACGCUUUAUUCAACAUUGCACAAACACAAGGAAAUCGAAGCUAGCCUUCCCCAUCUCAAAACACCACAGACAAGCCAAGGGCUCUUGUUAACUCUGUUAAAAAGGCUGGAAGAGCAGGCCAUCCACUAGCAGUCACUAGCUUGCCGUGAGCCACGCACCCUUCAGACUCCACUACUUCUCCACCAGCCACCUUCACGAUGGCCUUCAUUCCAUGGCUACUCGCGCAUCUCUUCUCCUUUAGAGCACCAGCAGCAGCCAGAAGCCCCUUCCCUUGUCCAAUUGCUGCAAUGAUCUUGCCCUUGUCAGCGAAUUCCUUAAUCAGAGAAACCACUUUCUCAUUUAUGACCAGCAACUCUGGGGACCUGCCUCCAGGCAACACCAAGCAAUCGUAGUCAUCUACAGAAAUGUCACUCCAAUUGGCAUUAACGACGAAGUUAUGGCCACGCUUUUCGCUGCAUAUUUGGGCUCCCUCGUCAUCGUGGAUGGCGGUAACGCAGCUCUCCCCUUUUUUCUUGCUUGGGCAAACUGCAUCAACCUUGCAGCCCAAACCUUGUAGAGUCCGGAAUGGCACAUUUACCUCGUAAUCUUCUACAUAAUCCGCUAACACAACCAGUACUGAGUUUCUGAGAGAUCUUGAAAUUUUGGCUCCCAUGGAUUCAAGGAGAACUCUCAUAUAUUCACCAUGUCCUGGCCACCCAAUGGAACUAACAAGAUUGCCGUCCUUUAGACAAGCGGUAAUGUCAAGAACCGAGUCUAUACCAGGCUGCUCCCACCAGGUGCCUCCUGCAAGCUCAAUGAUGGGUUUCAAGCUGGAAAAAGCAGUGCAUUUCUUGCCAUUGAGGAGUCCUGCUGCUACCAACAUGAGUUGGCUGUGGCAGCUAGUGAUUAAAGGCUUCCCUGUUUCUGCAAAUCUUUUUACCAUACCGACCACCUUGUCAUCGGCGCUGAGGAGCUCAGUGAACCUGCCUCCAGGUAUUAUGAGGGUAUCAUAGGAUUCUACAGUUACGUCCUCGUAGUUUGCAUUAAGCGUGAAGAAAUGGCCUUGCAGUUCUGUGUAUAGCUCGAAGCCCAAGUAAUCAUGAAUGGCAGUGAAGCAUUUAUCACCGGCACGCUUGCCGGGAGAGGCACAAUCGACCCUCAAACCUAAGGAUUGAAGCAUAAAGAAUGGCACAAUCACUUCAUAAUCUUCCAUGUAGUCCCCGCAUAGUAUGAGAGCUGAUUUUUGAGCAUUGGAACCCAUGAUUUCUAUACCUUCAC
rnacentral:misc_RNA from 1 species